rnacentral:rRNA from 1 species
CCUACGGGGGACAGCAGUGAGGAAUAUUGGUCAAUGGACGCAAGUCUGAACCAGCCAUGCCGCGUGCAGGAUGACGGCUCUAUGAGUUGUAAACUGCUUUUGUACGAGGGUAAACCCCGAUACGUGUCUCGGGUUGAAAGUAUCGUACGAAUAAGGAUCGGCUAACUCCGUGCCAGCAGCCGCGGUAAUACGGAGGAUCCGAGCGUUAUCCGGAUUUAUUGGGUUUAAAGGGUGCGUAGGCGGUUGGAUAAGUUAGAGGUGAAAUGUCGGGGCUCAACCCCGGAACUGCCUCUAAUACUGUUAGACUAGAGAAUAGUUGCGGUAGGCGGAAUGUAUGGUGUAGCGGUGAAAUGCUUAGAGAUCAUACAGAACACCGAUUGCGAAGGCAGCUUACCAAACUAUAUCUGACGUUGAGGCACGAAAGCGUGGGUAGCAAACAGGAUUAGAUACCCGAGUAGUC